rnacentral:rRNA from 1 species
UACAGAGAGUGCAAGCGUUAAUCGGAAUUACUGGGCGUAAAGCGCACGUAGGUGGAUAUUUAAGUCGGAUGUGAAAUCCCUGGGCUUAACCCGGGAACUGCAUCCGAUACUGGAUAUCUAGAGUAUGGUAGAGGGAAGUGGAAUUUCCGGUGUAGCGGUGAAAUGCGUAGAUAUCGGAAAGAACACCAGUGGCGAAAGCGGCUUCCUGGACUAAUACUGACACUAAGGUGCGAAAGCGUGGGGAGCAAACAGG